GUGGAGUAUGCCAGCAUAAAGGUCAUUCAGCUUCUCCUCUCUAGUGGAUACCACUGUAUGUUUAGGAGCAUUAAAGUCGGGGCAUAGUUCCAAGGCUAAGUGCAUCUCAUCCAAAGAUUGAGUCUGCGCAAUAAUAUCUUUCGGCGUGUGCUUGAACGAAAUGCUACCGCCGUGCUCUGCCCUAAGCCAGGGACCAUAAACUUUGGCUAUGUUGCCAUCUUUUGUGGUGAUGGUUGCUGGAUUUUUGAAACGACAUGCUCCUGUAACAUGAUCUAGUCUCCCACAUUUGUAACAAUAGUCAGAUAGUUUUUCAUAUUUGAAUUGGAUCCAUCUCUGAGUCCCAUCAUCCCUGUCUUGGAAGAAACCUAUGGGCAAACGGUUUAGGGUAGAAAGAUCGAUUUUGAAUCUCAAAAAACGUUGGCCAACUACACAGCCCUUGGAUAUGGAAUUUGAUUAGCUGUAUCAACAUGAAGGAAUAGAGGUGGUAGUCAGUGGACCUGUAUCGCAAAUGUUGUGGUAUCAAAAGAGAUUUCUUUCGAUGACUUAUUUGAUGGCCAUUCUUUCAAUAUUAGAUGAGCUCCGUCUAUAGACCAAGGUCUAUUUCUAAAGAUACUUUCCUUGUCUUCUCUAGAUCCAAACAGGAAAGUGAACAUGUUUUCUUCCAACUUCUCCACUUUAACUUUAGUCUUCACUGGCCAAACCUUGGGGAUUAUUUCCGCAAGCUUGAAUCUUCUAAGUCUUCUUGUGGUUAAUAGCCUUCCUACUAGAAUUCUCUCUGUUUUGUUUUCUUCGUCACUCACAAUGGGUUUGAGAGUAAGAGAAUUCAGGGAGUUUUGCAACGCGUACAGAUUUCUUUGUUGGUCGUCCAUUCUUCUGAGUGUAGGAACUUUAGAAGAACAGGGGAAAACUUGAUGUUUCCGGUUGUUUCUCACAAUCAAUAUAGUCGCGUCAGAGAUUUACACAGCCAGCUCUCAGGGGUUUUUUAUCGAACAUCUUGUCUACAAUGCUCUGGGUAUUCAACUUCAGAAACUGUGACUCUUGUAUUCCUCAUCGAGGAUCGAAGAGUUACUUGCUGACGCUUUUUAGGAUGUUCAUUAUAAACCCAUAUAUUUAUUGGCUCCAUUCUCAUAUAAUCUUGUAUUGUUUUAAAGUAAGGUCCUUUAUAGAAAACAACGCUACCACUAGUAGAUGCUAUCCAGCCAAUAUUGCGGAUCAAUCAGAUUAGGCCUUCCAUGCCUUGAUAUUUUGUUCUCCAGAACUUAAAGCAAAGAGAUGCUAUGUCAAAGCAUUCCUCAUGUGUGAUGUAGUGAGAUAAUGCUCUAUGCUUUAUUUCUUUUUUUUUUUUUUUUGGAUUUAAAAUCCUUUAUGGAUAUGACCAUGAGUUAUUUAAAUCCUAUUAAAUUUUGUUUUCUUCAUCGUACUUUCGAUAUCCAUUCCAUGGGUUUCAUUAGAUGGACCUUUUUACUGACCCCUAAGGGUGCUUUUGGUACGUCGGAUUGGCCAGGAUUGGAUGGGACACAGUCCCAGUCUGCUGUUUGCUUGAUCAUUUUAAGCUUGGGACAGGUUUAACCUAAACAGUAAAUUAAUCCCAAAUGAUCGGGGCACAGCUGAACCAUCUCCCCCCCAGGUCAUUUUUGUCCCAAACUCAAAAAAGCCCUUGUUUUCUUGCCGAAGCAUAUCGUUGCCUCGCGUGGAAGAUCGAAGGAAAAAUCACAGCUGCAACUCUCAGAGAAAGAAACACAGUUGGCCAUCUUACUCGAUCUGGAAAGGGCUUCCAUUUGCAAGUAAACCCAAACUCCAAAGAACCCAGUUCAGAGAUUAUCUUGUGAUUUGGAUCGGUUGGACAAAGAGGCAGUGCAAUUUGUGAUUGAGAAACUUCGGUCCCUGAUAGCAAAAACAGCUUGGUUAGAUGAACAGUGCUUCUUAAUAGUGGUGUUGAUAAAAUGUUUUAGAUAUUGUUGUUGAUUUCCCUGCUAAGUAUUUAUCUUUGUAUUUCAUUGAAGAAAAUCUUAAAAUCCAUCUUGAAGCAUUUUAUUGAUGAUGUGUGGCAACAAUUGA